rnacentral:rRNA from 1 species
GAUGAACGCUAGCGGCAGGCUUAAUACAUGCAAGUCGUGGGGCAGCAGGUUUGUAGCAAUACAGAUGCUGGCGACCGGCAAACGGGGUGCGGAACACGUACAGAACCUUCCUUUGAGCGGGGAAUAGCCCAGAGAAAUUUGGAUUAAUACCCCAUAGUAUAAUGAAGUGGCAUCACUUUAUUAUUAAAGAUUUAUCACUCGAAGAUGGCUGUGCGGCUGAUUAGGUAGUUGGCGGGGUAAAGGCCCACCAAAGCCUGCGAUCAGUGACUGGUGUGAGAGCACGACCAGUCACACGGGCACUGAGACACGGGCCCGACUCCUACGGGAGGCAGCAGUAAAGGAAUAUUGGUCAAUGGAGGCGAACUCUGAACCAGCCAUGCCGCGUGGA